rnacentral:rRNA from 1 species
UACGUAGGGAGCAAGCGUUGUCCGGAUUUAUUGGGCGUAAAGAGCUCGUAGGCGGCUUGGCAAGUCGGGUGUGAAAUCUCCAGGCUCAACCUGGAGGGGCCACUCGAUACUGCUAUGGCUAGAGUCCGGUAGGGGAUCACGGAAUUCCUGGUGUAGCGGUGAAAUGCGCAGAUAUCAGGAGGAACACCAGUGGCGAAGGCGGUGAUCUGGGCCGGUACUGACGCUGAGGAGCGAAAGCGUGGGGAGCGAACAGG